rnacentral:rRNA from 1 species
UACGUAGGGUGCGAGCGUUGUCCGGAAUUAUUGGGCGUAAAGAGCUCGUAGGCGGUUUGUUGCGUCGGCUGUGAAAUCCCGAGGCUCAACCUCGGGUCUGCAGUCGAUACGAGCAAACUAGAGUGUUGCAGGGGAGACUGGAAUUCCUGGUGUAGCGGUGAAAUGCGCAGAUAUCAGGAGGAACACCGAUGGCGAAGGCAGGUCUCUGGGCAUUAACUGACGCUGAGGAGCGAAAGCAUGGGGAGCGAACAGG